UACGUAGGGGGCGAGCGUUGUCCGGAAUUACUGGGCGUAAAGGGCGCGUAGGCGGUUCGCUAAGUUGAAUGUGAAAACUCUGGGCUUAACCCAGAGCCUGCAUUCAAUACUGGCGGGCUAGAGUUCUGGAGGGGAUAGCGGAAUUCCUGGUGUAGCGGUGAAAUGCGUAGAUAUCAGGAGGAACACCGGUGGCGAAGGCGGCUAUCUGGACAGAGUCUGACGCUGAGGCGCGAAAGCUAGGGGAGCAAACAGG
rnacentral:rRNA from 1 species